CAGGGCUCAAACUCGCGAACUGUGAGAUCAUGACCUGACACUUAACCGACUGAGCCACCCAGGCACCCUGAUAUUACCUUCUGCUUUAUUUUCUCAGUAGUGCCAAAGUAUAAUUUUUGUACUCCCUCCCAACAUCAUAGUGGGAGAUAAUGGUGAUAGCAUCUGUUGAUAGCAUCUGUAGAGAGGAUCUAGAUGGGUUUUAGUAGAAUAGGCUGAGCUUGUGCUGCCUUGACUCACAAGCCCAAAACUCAGUGGCUUAACUGAGAUAGCUUCUUUCUUCCUCAAAGUCUGUUUAAGUCAGGUGACUAACCAUGAUGGUUCUCCUCCAUGCAGUGACUCAGGAGUCCAGGCUCAUUGUAGCUCAUGGCCCCAAUCGGUCAACAUAUAGCCGCCAUGCUUGCCCCCAAAAGGAAGGAGAUUGUGUUGAAAGGUCCCACAGAGUCUUUUACAUAACUCAGGCCAGAAGGGACAUACAUCACUUCUGCUCAUGGUCCAAUGGUCAGCUAGUUCCAUGGUCCCACUUAACUAUAAGAAGGCUGGUUGGGAAGUAUAGUCUUCUAAGGGCCCUUCAAGGAAAGGAACCCUGGGCAUUGGUGAGCACUUCUCAAGUUUCGCACAACAGCCAGCUUUGGAAUGGCUUCCUUAAGAUGGAGAGAGCACAGGAGUAGGAUCCAGCAGAGCUGAGCAUAGAUCUUGUUGAAUCAGUCACUAUCCAUGUUGCCUUGAGUAAAUCAAUCAUUACCUCUGGGUCUCAGUUUUCAAAUCCACCAAAUGGGGAAAAUAAUACCUACCCUGCUUGUAUUAGCGAGACUUUUUAGUUUCCACUACAAAAGUCUGCAAGCAGAAUUACCAUAUUUAGGCGACUGUUCAAAUGCAAGUACAUAAAUAAUGCAGUAUGAAACCUAGAAAGCCUGUCUGGAUGAGAUAUAACGAAUUAUGCUGUUCUACAUCAACAUUGUUAGAGCCAUAAACAACGGUACCAUGUCCAGUCUUGCUUGCUUAACGGCUGAGAUGCCUAAGCAGCGAAGUAAGGAGCUGUUUACGUAUCAGCACUGAUGUAUUUUCUAUGUACGGAGUAUGAAGAAAAUGCAAAGGAAAUUAUGAUAUAUGUUAAACAUUAAAGAUUACCCAAAGCACAAGUUUGGCGGCUCUUGUGGUAUCUGAUGCUCUGUUGCUAGAGAGCAUCUACCUAGAUCAGCUACUAGGCCACAAAGCCGACCCUAUGUUCCAAGGAUGGAUGUGUAGUUAGGACAGGGUAUAAUACUGGCCAACUGUCAGCUAUUUGAGAAGUUUCAUUACCAUGUAUUUGAGGUGAUAUCAAAGUCUUUCAAAGACAUCAAUUUUUACAGAUUUGGCUAAUUAAUGUGUAUAUUUGUUGUCAGACAUCAAACGGUACUGAACGUACAUGUAGUUAUUUUGUAAGUCACCUCAAGAUUGCUCGUGAUGGUAAAAUUUUAAUGGUAAUAAUGAUAAUCAUGAUUAUUGAUCAUUUUUCCGUAUGCAAAAAAUGUCGUCAAUAGCAGGCGUAAUCUUAUAAAUAGAUGUCAUGCAAAAUACUCAAACGUGUGAAUUCUAUUAAAAUAUGCUUUGGGUUCUCUGGAAAACUCAGUGAAAUCUACAGCAUCAUGACAGAAAGAGUCCAAGUCACCUGUUUUAAAGUGACAAACUGUCCCUAUAGAGAGGUUCUUUUUAACUCAGCCUGCCAUUUAUUUUCUGAGAAAGCUCAUUCUGCCUGCAUGUAUCUAUGUCUGAUAGACAAGUAUUUCCUACAUUAAACAGAUGGGCCUCUACAGAAGCUCCCCCUAUGACUCUAGUUCAGAAAACGUUUCUUGCUGCUAGUAAUAGUAUUAUACACACACGAAACAUUAGGAACACCUAUAUGGUCAGUGAAAGGUCACAGAUCGAUUACAGCCUAAAAUAUUAGAGUCCAGGAACCAGUCAGUACUGUGGUAACCAACCCACAAAAAUCCAUAUAAAAAUCUGCUAAUUGAACUUUGUCAUGGAAUUUUUCUGCCUAGUCAUUGGCCCACAUAACUCUAUGGUGAUGAACAAAAGAAAUGGAUCGAAUAAAGCCAGCUGCAAAUAGAUACCCACGGCCACGUGCUGGGAUGCAGAUAGCAUAUCAACAAUGAGAUAAAGCUUUCUGAAGCAGAAGGUCACUGAACCAAAAUUUCUGACACAUGUCCAAGUGCUGGCUUUUAAAAUGGAGCGUAACAGAAAGCACAUUCUUUCCGGUCACUGGAAUUCUUUCAAAGAAGCAGUUGUAUGAAAUGGAAGACGACGGUAUAUUGAAGGGUGCUGCUAAAGGGUUCUGAGCAGAGGAGUGACAUGAUCCAAAAUUGGGUUUUGGAAGGAAUCCCUCCGGUUGCUGGGCUGAGAAGAGACGAUCAGGAGUGAGGGUAACCUGAGAAAGAGAACUAGGAGGCAGUGGCAGUAAUCCAGGUGAGAGGUAUUUUUCAGAGAUGAAAUCAGCGACCUUGGUUCUCCAUGAGUUAACUUACCGAUGCUAGCUAGCCCAGACUGAAACGACUUUAUACAUAUGCUAAAGAGAUCUAUUUAGAUAGAUACAGCUCUGCCAAUACAUUUCACCUCGAGAAAUGCUCGGGUAUGCUUUUUAAUUCUUACAUUUUGUGAGCAGGUGGUACAAUGAAUGGACACCAACUUCAAACAAACUCCCAUAAGAACCAUCAGGACUAACUUACCCGAAAGGAACAUUCAAAUUCACAUCAAUCAAUAACAGCUAAUAAUGGCCUCCGUUAAUUUGUUUUAAUUUUGACCAAGUGAUAAUAUUGCCAUCAUUUUUUUUUUUUAAACGAUCCUUGAUGGAACUGCUACCUCUGUUGAACUCUUGAGUGUAUCUCGUCCCAAAGAGAAUGAUCAACAAAAUCAGUCCUGGAUACAUGCUAUACAUUCUGUUAUACCUACUCAUAGCUCAUCUGUGACAUAGCUUCUGAAUUAAAAGCAAAGAAAAAAAAAAGGAACAGAGAGAAUAAAAUAUGUGCUCACAUCUGAGAAGAAUUCAACUAAUUUCUUUAGCUGACGAAGUGACAAUGAUGAGUUAUGGCACAACACUGGUAUAGAUAUCUUCAGGAAUACAAACAUGUAUUGGUCAACAGCUCUACAACGAUGGGUGCAGUUAGCUGUGAGGUGACAAAUAAGGACACAACGCACACAGUAAUGGAUAUUAGUGGAUGGGACCAGGAGCCAGGGGACCAGAGAA